UGCCUGGUAGUGAAAUGGCAUCACGCCUCUCUUUGGAAGAGGUAUUCUAGGUUCGAGUCCUAGCCGGGUAA
rnacentral:tRNA from 1 species